CUCUCCGACCUCGCAGACACUGGAUGUGUAUGAUCACUCUCCAACUGAAGGCUUCCGUCUCUAUCAACAGCUUCCAGUAUGCCGCAAGCCAAUAGACAUAAAGAUGAUUACGGUAUCCUUCACAGACUUCCUGUUGGUGUCUUGCAAGGAACCGGCC